rnacentral:misc_RNA from 1 species
GGCUGCAGCUACGUUGUUCGGUUAUAUUUAUGUUUAUGUUACUUGUGGAGUCUGUUCAAUUUGAUGAACAAUGUAUUUUGGUGAGGCCAAGCAUGUGGCUUAGCUCUGCAUCUCUACGCUUAUCGAUAUAUAAUAAUUAAUUAUUUCAAGCAAGGAUAUCCUCUAUGUGUUUGCCUUCCAAUUUGGAUUUCUCAAUGUCCUUUAAUGCCUUCUCCUUAGCCAAUUUCUUAAGCCUGGCUAGCUCAAGGUCCUUGCUCAUC